rnacentral:rRNA from 1 species
GAUGAACGCUGGCGGCGUGCCUAAUACAUGCAAGUCGAGCGAACAGACGAGGAGCUUGCUCCUCUGACGUUAGCGGCGGACGGGUGAGUAACACGUGGAUAACCUACCUAUAAGACUGGGAUAACUUCGGGAAACCGGAGCUAAUACCGGAUAAUAUAUUGAACCGCAUGGUUCAAUAGUGAAAGACGGUUUUGCUGUCACUUAUAGAUGGAUCCGCGCCGCAUUAGCUAGUUGGUAAGGUAACGGCUUACCAAGGCAACGAUGCGUAGCCGACCUGAGAGGGGGACCGCCCCACCGGGACAGGGAACCCGGCCCAGACCCCUAGGGGGGGAAAGAGGAGGGAAUUUUCCGAAAUGGGGGAAAGCCGAACGGAGCAACCCCGGGUGAGGGAGAAAGGUUUUGGGAUCGAAAACCUCUUUUUUUAGGGAAAAAAAAAUGUGUAAAAAACUAUGCCGUUUUUGCGGGUCCCUAACAAGAAAGCCCCGGCAAACUCCGU